UACGUAGGCAGCAAGCGUUGUUCGGAGUUACUGGGCGUAAAGGGUGUGUAGGCGGUUGUUUAAGUUUGGUGUGAAAUCUCCCGGCUCAACUGGGAGGGUGCGCCGAAUACUGAAUGACUCGAGUGCGGGAGAGGAAAGUGGAAUUCCUGGUGUAGCGGUGAAAUGCGUAGAUAUCAGGAGGAACACCGGUGGUGUAGACGGCUUCUGGACCGUAACUGACGCUGAGACACGAAAGCGUGGGUAGCAAACAGG
rnacentral:rRNA from 1 species